GGGGGAUAGUUUUUUAGUACGUAGGCGCUAGGGAUGGCGAAUCGUGCAUGCUGCUACUAAGAACCAGCAGCAUCUUUUGAAGAUUUUCUACCUCC
rfam:Glossina pallidipes unplaced genomic scaffold Scaffold146, whole genome shotgun sequence.